AGAACUGGACACAGUAUCCUAGCAGGAGUCACACCAUUUUUUAAUCAAAAUGUCUUGUGAUACCACACUAGAUGCCUUCCAGAAGUGGAAGUAUAUUUCAUCAACACUAUUAUCCUUAUCAACAAAACUUGUAAUUGUAUUUAGAAAAAUGUUAUCAAGUUAAUUUGACAGGAUCUGUUUUCCAUAAACUACCUACCCUUCUGUAAUUAUUAAUCCAAUCCUGUAUCAGUUGUUUCAUUAUUCUUCUGGUGAGCAAUGUCAGGCUGACAGGCCUAUAAUUACUCUGGUCAUCCCAUUUGUUCUUUUUAUAAAUUGGCACAACACUAGCAUUCUUCUAGUCCUCUGGAACUUUCCUAUUGUUCCAAGACAUACUGAAAAUCAACAUUAAUGGUCCAAUGAGCUCAUCAGCCAGCUCUUUAAAAACGUCUGGAUGUAAGUUAUCUAAACCUGCAGAUUUUAAAAUGUCUAAUUUUAACAGCUUCUGUUAAUAUCUUCCUGAAUUGCUAUUGCAAUGGAGUUUCAUUGUAGCUGUAUGAUAUGAUUACAUAAUCUGUUUUUUGCUAAAUACAAAACAAAUAUUUAUUUACUAUUUCUGCUUUUUCUGCAUUAUUACUAACCGUUCUAACAUUUCCAUUUAGUAAUGGACCAGUACCAUUGUUAGGAUUCUGUUUGUUCCUAAUACACUUUCAGAAUCCCUUCUUAUUGUCUUUAACUUUGCUGGCCAUAUGUUUCUUCUACGUUUGUCCUUUUGCUUCCCUUAAGAAUUGUAGAAAAUUGGUAUCUUCUGAUUUUUAUUUAUUGCUAUCAACUUCCCCGCUCUUCCGUUGCAUUGAUGUGGCUUUGUUCUCUCCUUACAUAGAUUCCAUGAGGUUAUAAUUAAUCUUCCUUUUCACUGA